rnacentral:rRNA from 1 species
UGAUCCUGCCAGUAGUCAUAUGCUUGUACUCAAAGAUUAAGCCAUGCAUGUCUAAGUAUAAGCAAUUAUACAGCGAAACUGCGAAUGGCUCAUUAUAUAAGUUAUCGUUUAUUUGAUAGUGCCUUACUACUUGGAUAACCGUGGUAAUUCUAGAGCUAAUACAUGCUAAAAACCCCGACUUCGGAAGGGGUGUAUUUAUUAGAUACAAAACCAAUGCCCUUCGGGGCUCUUUGGUGAUUCAUGAUAACUAUACGAAUCGCACGGCCUUGCGCCGGCGAUGGUUCAUUCAAAUUUCUUCCCUAUCAACUUUCGAUGUUUGGGUAUUGGCCAAACAUGGUUGCAACGGGUAACGGAGGGUUAGGGCUCGACCCCGGAGAAGGAGCCUGAGAAACGGCUACUACAUCCAAGGAAGGCAGCAGGCGCGCAAAUUGCCCAAUGCUAACACGAGCGAGGCAGCGACGAGAAGUAUUUACUUCGUUACACUUUGUUGUGACCUGGAUAGAAAUGGAUGGUAUGCAAAACCACCACUGAGGAUCGAUCGGAGGGCAAGUC